AUGCGCUGGUGGUGCGAGUGGUCUUCAAA
rnacentral:tRNA from 14 species